GGCUCUAGUGGCGGACGGGUGAGUAACGCGUAGGAACGUAUCCUGGGAUGGGGGAUAACGCUGGGAAACUGGCGCUAAUACCGCAUGUCUGCUGAGGCAGAAAGCCUUUGGGUGUCUUGGGAGCGGCCUGCGUCCGAUUAGCUAGUUGGUGGGGUAAAGGCUUACCAAGGCGACGAUCGGUAGCUGGUCUGAGAGGACGAUCAGCCACACUGGGACUGAGACACGGCCCAGACUCCUACGGGAGGCAGCAGUGGGGAAUAUUGGACAAUGGGCGGAAGCCUGAUCCAGCAAUUCCGCGUGGGUGAAGAAGGUCUUCGGAUUGUAAAGCCCUUUCGGCGGGGACGAUGAG
rnacentral:rRNA from 1 species